rnacentral:rRNA from 1 species
GUCCUGUCGAGCAUAAUUUCAGGUYGUACCUGCCCAAUGAGAAUUUUCUUUAAUGGCUGCGGUAUUUUGACCGUACAAAGGUAGCAUAAUCAUUAGUUUUUUAAUUGAAAGCUUGUAUGAAGGGUUUGAUGAAAAAAUAUCUGUUUCUAUGAAAAUUUUUUAAAAUUUUAUUUUUAAGUGAAAAAGCUUAAAUAAUAAUAGAAGACGAGAAGACCCUAUAGAGUUUUAUAUUUAGUUAUGAAAUUUAUAUUUUUAGAUUAAAAAUUAUAUUUUAUAAUAAAAUAUUUUGUUGGGGUGAUAGAAAAAUUUAUUAAACUUUUUUUUAAUUUAAACAUUGAUUUAUGAUUUUUUGAUCCUAGAAUUUAGAUUAUAAGAUAAAAUUACCUUAGGGAUAACAGCGUUAUUUUUUUUAGAGUUCUUAUCGAAAAAAAAGAUUGCGACCUCGAUGUUGGAUUAAAAUUAAUUGUUGGUGUAGAAGCUAACUAAUUAGGUCUGUUCGACCUUUAAAAUUUUACAUGAUCUGAGUUUAAACCGGUGUGAG